AAUGAACGCUGGCGGCGUGCUUAACACAUGCAGGUCGAACGAGGCGGGAGGGGGCAACUCCUCCCAGUCGAGUGGCGGACGGGUGAGUAACACGUGGGUAACCUGCCCGGGUGUGUGGAAUACCUCGGGGAAACUCGAGCUAAUACCGCAUGACAUCUUCGAGACGUCGGUCUUGGAGAUCAAAGCGGGCCGCAAGGCCUCGCGCCCCGGAUGGGCCCGGCGCCCGACUUAGCUAGUUGGUGAGGUAACGGCGUCACCAAGGCAACGAUCGGUAGCCGGCCUGAGAGGGU
rnacentral:rRNA from 1 species